AUUAUACUCCCUCCGUCCGGAAAUACUUGUCAUAAAAAUGAAUAAAAGGGGAUGUAUCUAGAUAUAUUUUAAUUCUAGAUACAUCCCUUUUCAUCCAUUUUGAUGACAAGUAUUUUCGGACGGAGGAAGUAUGUU
rnacentral:pre_miRNA from 1 species